rnacentral:rRNA from 1 species
GCCUCAGUAACGGCGAGUGAAGCGGCAACAGCUCAAAUUUGAAAUCUGGCUCUCGGGCCCGAGUUGUAAUUUGUAGAGGAUGCUUUGGGCGCGGUUCCUUCCGAGUUCCCUGGAACGGGACGCCAUAGAGGGUGAGAGCCCCGUACGGUCGGACGCCAAGCCUAUGUAAAGCUCCUUCGACGAGUCGAGUAGUUUGGGAAUGCUGCUCUAAAUGGGAGGUAAAUUUCUUCUAAAGCUAAAUAUUGGCCAGAGACCGAUAGCGCACAAGUAGAGUGAUCGAAAGAUGAAAAGCACUUUGAAAAGAGGGUUAAAUAGCACGUGAAAUUGUUGAAAGGGAAGCGCUUGUGACCAGACUUGCGCCUGGUAAAUCAUCUAGCGUUCUCGCUAGUGCACUUUGCCGGCACAGGCCAGCAUCAGUUUGCCGUUAGGGAUAAAAGCUUCUGGAACGUAGCUCUCUUCGGGGAGUGUUAUAGCCUGUUGCAUAAUACCUUUCGGCGGACUGAGGUUCGCGCUCCGCAAGGAUGCUGGCGUAAUGGUCAUCAGCGACCCGUCUUGAAACACGGACCAAGGAGUCAACCUUAUGUGCGAGUGUUUGGGUGUCAAACCCCUACGCGUAAUGAAAGUGAACGCAGGUGAGAGCUUCGGCGCAUCAUCGACCGAUCCUGAUGUCUUCGGAUGGAUUUGAGUAAGAGCAUAUAGGGUUGGACCCGAAAGAAGGUGAACUAUGCGUGUAUAGGGUGAAGCCAGAGGAAACUCUGGUGGAGGCUCGCAGCGGUUCUGACGUGCAAAUCGAUCGUCCAAUAUGCGCAUGGGGGCGAAAGACUAAUCGAACCUUCUAGUAGCUGGUUUCCGCCGAAGUUUCCUCAGGAU